AGUGAACGCUGGCGGUAGGCCUAACACAUGCAAGUCGAACGGCAGCACAGUAAGAGCUUGCUCUUACGGGUGGCGAGUGGCGGACGGGUGAGGAAUACAUCGGACUCUACUUUUUCGUGGGGGUUAACGUAGGGAAACUUACGCUAAUACCGCAUACGACCUACGGGUGAAAGCAGGGGAUCUUCGGACCUUGCGCGAUUGAAUGAGCCGAUGUCGGAUUAGCUAGUUGGCGGGGUAAAGGCCCACCCAGGCGGCGAUCCGUAGCUGGUCUGAGAGGAUGAUCAGCCACACUGGAAGUGAGACACGGUCCAGACUCCUACGGGAGGCAGCAGUGGGGAAUAUUGGACAAUGGGCGCAAGCCUGAUCCAGCCAGACCGCGUGGGUGAAGAAGGCCUUCGGGUUGUAAAGCCCUUUUGUUGGGAAAGAAAAGCAGCAGGUUAAUACCCCGCUGUUCUGACGGUACCCAAAGAAUAAGCACCGGCUAACUUCGUG
rnacentral:rRNA from 1 species